rnacentral:lncRNA from 1 species
GUUUACUGUUCUAAUGAUUAUGAUUAAUAGUUUUCAUUCAGAAGUAUUUUUGUAAUAAAGUAUAUACCAAAGCAAAAACGAAAAUCCCAAGAAUUCCAACGAAGAAACUGGAUCUGAUUGACAUAUAUGAUCUUUAUAUUCUAUCUGUUCCCAUGGAAUAUGAAAAGAAGUGUUUCAUUGGCAGUCAGCUAAUCUUCAGGAACAUGCAUAACACAAAUUUGAUAAAAUAACGUAAAUGGUAAUGAAAAUGAAUAUAUAGUUUCAAUAAAAUAAAAUUGCACG